UGAUCAGAACUAACAAAAAAGCAUCAACAUGAACACCCUACCCCCACCCCAAAAAAAAAAAAAAAUCGAGCCCUAACAAAAGCAACUAGGCAGUCCAACUGUAGAUAGCAGCAGCAAAACCUCUUGGCAAGCAGAAAACAGUUGUACAUAUAUUUCAUAAUCAUUAAAUAUCAUGUCACUAACAGGCUAAAUAUACUUCCAUUUAGAUGAUAGUAAGUCCACACAGAAAUGAGAGGUAUAUUCCCAGUGAAAGGAAAUGAAAUAUUUUGAACUUAAGAAUCCCAAACGUUCAAUAUGUCAAUCAAGCUUCAGGAUAAAUGGCAUGCACAGAAAUUGUGGAAGAUGGAUCUCAUUUACAGUUUCCCUGCAUUUUACAGCAUCAAUUUACAAAUCCAUAUAAGCCAUGACAUCAACAGUUUGAGCAAUAAAAAAGCACUAUUAAGGGCCACAACUUUAAUUAAGUUAUUAUUACUUUUAAUAUAAAGC
rnacentral:lncRNA from 1 species